GAGCGGUGAAGAAUCCCUGCGCCUGAUUGUGAUGGUAGGGUCCAUCACCACCGUCUGAUUCUUCGGACGAAAUACAGCGCAUCUGAGCUC